rnacentral:rRNA from 1 species
UCGCCAGACUCCUACGGGAGGCAGCAGUAGGGAAUAUUGCUCAAUGGGGGAAACCCUGAUGCAGCGACGCCGCGUGGGUGAAGAAGCGCCUCGGCGCGUAAAGCCCUGUCAGCAGGGAAGAAAAUGACGGUACCCGAAGAAGAAGCCCCGGCUAACUACGUGCCAGCAGCCGCGGUAAUACGUAGGGGGCAAGCGUUAUCCGGAUUUACUGGGUGUAAAGGGAGCGUAGACGGCGGCGCAAGUCCGGAGUGAAAGCCCACGGCCCAACCGUGGGACUGCUCUGGAAACUGUGCGGCUUGAGUGCGGGAGGGGCAGGCGGAAUUCCUAGUGUAGCGGUGAAAUGCGUAGAUAUUAGGAGGAACACCGGCGGCGAAGGCGGCCUGCUGGACCGUAACUGACGUUGAGGCCCGAAAGCGUGGGGGGCAAACAGGAUUAGAUACCCCCGUAGG